CCCUCCUCCCAUUAUCCCAAGUCCCAACUAAGCAGCGCCUACAAAUCUCUUCCCCUCCUAAUUUUCUCGCCGGCUUCCUACUUCCGCCACUCAGCCCGCCAAAUUAGAUUAAAAUCUUCAACCUUUUUUCCUCGAAAUCUCUACCUGCCCUCCCACCCUCUCUGUUUCGUCGAAACCUGCUUGCUCUCUCACCCUCUCUUUCUCUCUCUAGCACACAUAUCCCAACACCGCUCCAGACUAACCGCCUGCCUCUGCGUCAAAAAUAAUCACCAACUCCGCAAUUAUAAAACGACGAAAAAGAACAACAGUGGACAACAACACCUCCUCAUCAAAGAUUACUUAAACCCCUCAAUAAUAAUAAUAAUUAUUAUUAUUAUUAUUUUUAUAACAUAACAUGUGCUUACUCACCGCGAUUCUCCUCUCGCCUCCUCUGUCUCUAGGUCCUCAUCUUCGCCCCUCCAUUAACGAUGAGAAGAAGAAAGCUCCAACAAAUCUCCUUCUCCCUCCUCAUCUUCUUCGUCCUCCCCGGCUCCACGCUCUCCCAAACCAACUCUACUGAGUGCCCCCUGGACUUCUCCGUGCUGCGCAACUUCGUCUCCGCCUCGACCGUCCCGACCAACACCUCCUCCCUCUGCGCCUUCUCCGUCCAAGCCCUCCACCUCGUCCUCGCCCAGUACCUCCUCACCUCCUCCCGCUUCCUGCCCCCCGCCCCCUCCGCCUCCUCCUGCUGGUCUCACUUCCAGUCCUUCCUCUCCCCCGCCCGCGACGACAUGGCCGCCAACUGCAACCAGUCUCUGGCCGCCGUCCCCUCCUGCACCGCCUGCACCACCAGCCUCAACCGCGUCAAGGCCGCCUACCUCCCGGGCCCCGCCGUCGGCAACGUCACCAAGUGCGCCGACUACCCCUUCAUCUACGCCGCCGCCGUCUCCAACCCCUCCGGCCCCUCCGCCCCCGGCACCGCCUUCUGCCUCUUCUUCCUCGACUCCGCUCCCUCCGCCCCCCCCUCCCCCUCCCCCUCCGCCGGAUCUCGUAAUUGGAUCUACGGCGUCGUCGUCGGCUGCGUCGCUCUCCUGCUCCUCGCAGCCGUCGCCGCGUGGCUUUUCUCGAGGCGCCGCGGCCGGCGGCGGCGGAGGCGGAGGAAGGACGCGGAGGCGCCGUCCGCCGGGUCGCGGGCGCUGGAGUCGAUCGGGGCGAGCACGACGCUGGUCAAGUACGCGUUCGACGACAUCAAGGCGGCCACCGGGAACUUCUCGCGGGACCGCCUCGUCGGCCGCGGCGGCUACGGGAACGUCUACUGCGGCGUCCUCCCCGACGGGUCGGCCGUCGCGAUCAAGCGGUUCAAGAACUGCUCCGCCGCCGGGGACGCCAGCUUCGCCCACGAGGUCGAGGUCAUCGCGUCGGUCCGCCACGUCAACCUCCUCGCCCUCCGCGGCUACUGCAUCGCCACCACGCCGAUGGAGGGCCACCAGCGGAUGAUCGUCUGCGACCUCGUCGAGAACGGCAGCCUCCACGACCACCUCUUCGGCUCCCCGGGGGAGAGCCGCCUCAGCUGGCCGCUCCGGCAGAAGAUCGCGGUCGGGAUGGCGCGCGGAUUGGCGUACCUGCAUUACGGGGCGCAGCCCGCGAUAAUUCACAGGGACAUCAAGUCCAGCAACAUUCUGGUAGACGAGAAUUUCGAGGCGAAGCUCGCCGAUUUCGGCCUGGCCAAGUUUGCCCCGGAGGGGAUGUCCCACAUGAGCACGAGGGUGGCCGGAACCCUCGGAUACGUGGCGCCCGAGUACGCUCUCUACGGCCAAUUGACGGAGAAGAUCGACGUUUACAGCUUCGGAGUCGUCCUGCUCGAGCUCCUGAGUGGAAGGAAGGCCUUUGUUUCGCUCGGCGAGGGCCAGAGCUUUGUGCUCACUGAUUGGGCCUGGUCGCUGGUGAGGCAAGGGAGGACCUUUGAAGUUAUUCAAGAAGGAAUGGAGGACAUGGGGCCGAGGGAAGUCGUGGAGAAGUACGUGCUAGUGGCCGUGCUCUCGACCCAUCCUCAAUUGCACGCGAGGCCAACAAUGGACCAGAUUGUGAAGAUUUUAGAAACCGACUUGUCGGUCCCGACGAUUCCGGACCGGCCGAUCCCCAUCGUGGCGAGCAUGGAAGAUAUCGAAAGAUCGAUGAGCAGCAGUGGGUCAGGAGGGCUGACUAGCUUUUCUGGGUACCAGCCUUUUACUAAUGGAGCUGAUCGCGUUUCUAGUCAUUCCUCAGAAGAACCUCUGUCCUGAGAUACUGGGUUACGGCCGUUGGGUGGAUGUAUUUCUCGAAAAAGGAUUGUAUAAAUGAGGCAAAGCAUAUAUCCAGUUUUUGCAAGGGCUCCUCAGGUCUGAGCGCGAGCGGGGCGAUGGAGGACCGAGGCAAGGGUAUUGUGCCAUAGCUAGUGGCCGCCGGAGUACUUGCAUUUAGUCAUUCCCUAUUUGGUUCAUGUAUCAACUUUCUUUUGUUGAUCUAGAAUUGUAAAGUUGUAAACAUUCAUGUAUUUUGGGGUUGAAUGAUUAAGAUGUAAAAAGAUAUUAUGAAUGAAAGGAAAAAAGAA